CAGUCGCCGCGGGAAUACGUAGGUGGCAAGCGUUGUCCGGAAUUAUUGGGCGUAAAGGGCUCGCAGGCGGUUUCUUAAGUCUGAUGUGAAAGCCCCCGGCUCAACCGGGGAGGGUCAUUGGAAGCUGGGAAACUUGAGUGCAGAAGAGGAGAGUGGAAUUCCACGUGUAGCGGUGAAAUGCGUAGAGAUGUGGAGGAACACCAGUGGCGAAGGCGACUCUCUGGUCUGUAACUGACGCUGAGGAGCGAAAGCGUGGGGAGCGAACAGGAUUAGAUACCCCCGUAGUCCCUGUCUCUUAUAU
rnacentral:rRNA from 1 species